rnacentral:rRNA from 1 species
GUCUUUUAGAGUUAGAAUUUAAAGUCUAGCCUGCCCACUGAAAAUUUAAAUGGCCGCAGUAAUUUGACUGUGCAAAGGUAGCAUAAUCAUUAGUUUUUUAAUUAGAAGCUAGAAUGAAUGGUUGGACGAGAUAUAAUCUGUCUUUGGAUAAAAAAUAGAAUUUAAUUUUUAAGUUAAAAAGCUUAAAUGGUAAUAAAAGACGAGAAGACCCUAUAGAUUUUUAUAUUAUUAUUUUUAUUAUAGAUUAGGAUUAUUUUAUUUAUUAUAUUUAAUUAUAUUUUAUUGGGGUAAUAAGGAGAUUAAAUUAAUUCUCUUACAUAUUUUACAAUAAUGUUUGAUUUAUUUGAUCCUUUAUUAUAGAUUAAAAGAUUAAGUUACCUUAGGGAUAACAGCGUAAUUUUUUUGAAGAGUUCAUAUCGAUAAAAAAGUUUGCGACCUCGAUGUUGGAUUAAAAAUUAUUCUAGGAGUAGAAGUUUAGAGUUUUGGUCUGUUCGACCAUUAAAUUUUU